CUGCGGACGGCUCAUUAAAUCAGUUACAAUCUACUUGAUCGCGAACUUUACGGUUUAUUCGGGUAACCCUAGUAAUUCUAGAGCUAAUACGUGCAACUGACUCUGACCUCUUUUUAAGGGGAAGGAGUGUAUUUAUUAGAUAACUUAAAACCAAUCGGCCCAAAAGGUCGUUUGAUUGAUGAUUCAUAAUAACUGUGCAAAUCGCGGGUCAAUACUUGCGAUGAUACAAACGAGUUUCUGACCUAUCAACUUUAGAUGGCAGGAUAGGGGCUUGCCAUGGUGACAACGGGUGACGGGGAAUUAGGGUUCGAUUCCGGAGAGGGAGCCUGAGAAACGGCUACCACUUCCAAGGAAGGCAGCAGGCGCGCAAAUUACCCAAUACUAAUUCGGUGAGGUAGUGACAAGAAAUAUCAAUAUAGGACCCAACGGGUACUAUGUUUGGAAUGAGUACAAUUUAAAAACCUUAACAAGGAACAAUUAGAGGGC
rnacentral:rRNA from 1 species